rnacentral:rRNA from 1 species
ACGCCUUAUACAUGCAAGUCGAACGAAGUAGCAAUACUUAGUGGCAGACGGGUGAGUAACAUGUGGGUAUCUUCCCUUUGGUGAGGAAUAACACGAGGAAACUUGUGCUAAUACCUCAUAAGUCUUUACGGAGAAAGCUUUAUGCGCCAAUGGAUGAGCCCGCACUAGAUUAGUUUGUUGGUGGGGUAAUGGCUUACCAAGACGGUGAUCUAUAGCUGAUCUGAGAGGAUGAUCAGCCACAUUGGAACUGAGACACGGUCCAAACUCCUACGGGAGGCAGCAGUAGGGAAUAUUGCACAAUGGAGGAAACUCUGAUGCAGCGAUGCCGCGUGAGUGAAGAAGGCCUUUGGGUUGUAAAGCUCUUUCGUCGGGGAAGAAAAUGACUGUACCCGAAUAAGAAGGUCCGGCUAACUUCGUGCCAGCAGCCGCGGUAAUACGAAGGGACCUAGCGUAGUUCGGAAUUACUGGGCUUAAAGAGUUCGUAGGUGGUUAAAAUAGUUGGUGGUGAAAUCCCAGAGCUUAACUCUGGAACUGCCAUCAAAACUUUUUAGCUAGAGUAUGAUAGAGGAAAGCAGAAUUUCUAGUGUAGAGGUGAAAUUCGUAGAUAUUAGAAAGAAUACCAAUUGCGAAGGCAGCUUUCUGGAUCAUUACUGACACUGAGGAACGAAAGCAUGGGUAGCGAAGAGGAUUAGAUACCCUCGUAGUCCAUGCCGUAAACGAUGUGUGUUAGACGUUGGAAAUUUAUUUUCAGUGUCGCAGCGAAAGCAUUAAACACACCGCCUGGGGAG